AUUGAACGCUGGCGGCAUGCCUAACACAUGCAAGUCGAACGGCAGCACGGCAGUAGCAAUACUGUGGGUGGCGAGUGGCGGACGGGUGAGGAAUACGUCGGAAUCUGCCCAGUCGUGGGGGAUAACUAGCCGAAAGGUUAGCUAAUACCGCAUACGACCGAGAGGUGAAAGCGGGGGACCGCAAGGCCUCGCGCGAUUGGAUGAGCCGACGUCGGAUUAGCUAGUUGGCGGGGUAACGGCCCACCAAGGCGACGAUGUCUAGCUGGUCUGAGAGGAUGAUCAGCCACACUGGGACUGAGACACGGCCCAGACUCCUACGGGAGGCAGCAGUAGGGAAUAUUGGACAAUGGGGGGAACCCUGAUCCAGCCAUGCCGCGUGAGGGAAGAAGGUCCUCUGGAUUGUAAACCUCUUUUGGCAGGAAACAAACCUGCGCUAUACGCGCAGCUGAGGGUACCUGCAGAAUAAGCACCGGCUAACUCCGUGCCAG
rnacentral:rRNA from 1 species